rnacentral:lncRNA from 1 species
ACUAACGUCAGUUGAGAAGAAAAGCCACAGAUUAAAUGAAACCAAAAACAAACCCUAAAAAAUUAAAGCUGACUAAUUCACCUGCUUGUGUAUUUUCUACCUGGUCAACCACGCGAUUCUCUUUGUGAUUCUUUCGCUUCCCUGGAUCCCAGCUGCCUUUAGGGAGAAUAACAAAAAACUGUUAUCCAGUUUCUGUACAUGUAGGGGAAGGAAGGGAGGACAAUUAAAUAGUGUGCAGGAUAGACACGUGCCAGUCCUUCCCAUGUCGUAAUUGAACUUUAUGGCUCUCCUGUGUGGACCUGUCUCCAAGUGAGGAAACAGAGACUCAGAUGGGGUAAGUAUGCAGGCUAAAGUCACAAGGCUGGUGAGUGAUGUGCUCUGGAUUCCUGCUCACUUCUCUCUGACUCAGACACUCAUGUUCUUGCUUCACACAUUUGGCUCAUGUAUACUACUUCACGACAUUCUCACCCGUGAAAAAUGACCAAAGUAAAGGACUUUUUUGAAAAAGAUUUAUUUGAAAGGUCAUUUCUAUGACUUCAACCCUCUUAGAGACUCGGACCGAAGCAGAAACAAGAGGCAGUGAGAGCGUUCUCCAAGUAACCAUGCCAAGUUGGACGCGGGGGCCAGAGAAAGGCAAAGUCACUGCCAACAUAAUCAGAAAGAAGUGUCCCUGGCUAGAGACUGGUACAGUGCAUGAGAAGAAAAAAGAUUUCUCUGCAUCUGGAGCAUUUCGGAGCUUCUUUCUCUGCUACUUUUUGACCGUAAAAACCUUCCGUGCCCUUCCGGCCUCUAUGAGAAUGGCAAGAGUUCCCGAGGUUUGCUUUAACCAAUACAUAUCAUCCAACUACCCACAAAUAGUGAUGAAAGGAUGUUAGAAAUGGUUUUGCAGGUGCCAACUGAUUGGAAUUGUAUAGCCAUCAGGGAAUACAAUGGCCCUUCUGUUUUGGAAUAAAUAUUUAAACCUAUAAAUAUCUGUAGGCA